UACAGAGGGUGCGAGCGUUAAUCGGAAUUAUUGGGCGUAAAGGGCGCGUAGGCGGCCUGGCAAGUGGAAGGUGAAAUCCCUCGGCUUAACCGAGGAACUGCCCUCCAAACUGCUUGGCUUGAGUCCGGGAGAGGUGAGUGGAAUUCCCAGUGUAGCGGUGAAAUGCGUAGAUAUUGGGAGGAACACCAGUGGCGAAGGCGGCUCACUGGACCGGAACUGACGCUGAGGCGCGAAAGCGUGGGGAGCAAACGGG
rnacentral:rRNA from 1 species